rnacentral:tRNA from 1 species
GGCGGUAUAGCUCAGUUGGCUAGAGCACUCGGUUCAUACCCGAGCGGUCGUUGGUUCAAAUCCUACUGCCGCUACCA